CAGUCGCCGCGGUAAUACGGAGGGAGCUAGCGUUGUUCGGAAUUACUGGGCGUAAAGCGCACGUAGGCGGUUAUUCAAGUCAGAGGUGAAAGCCCGGGGCUCAACCCCGGAACUGCCUUUGAAACUAGAUGACUAGAAUCUUGGAGAGGUCAGUGGAAUUCCGAGUGUAGAGGUGAAAUUCGUAGAUAUUCGGAGGAACACCAGUGGCGAAGGCGACUGACUGGACAAGUAUUGACGCUGAGGUGCGAAAGCGUGGGGAGCAAACAGGAUUAGAUACCCCGGUAGUCCCUGUCUCUUAUAC
rnacentral:rRNA from 1 species